rnacentral:rRNA from 1 species
GGAAGAAGCUUUCGAGUGACGGUACCUGCAGAAAAAGCACCGGCUAACUACGUGCCAGCAGCCGCGGUAAUACGUAGGGUGCAAGCGUUGUCCGGAAUUAUUGGGCGUAAAGAGCUCGUAGGCGGUUUGUCGCGUCUGCUGUGAAAUCCCGAGGCUCAACCUCGGACGUGCAGUGGGUACGGGCAGGCUUGAGUGCGGUAGGGGAGAUUGGAAUUCCUGGUGUAGCGGUGGAAUGCGCAGAUAUCAGGAGGAACACCGAUGGCGAAGGCAGAUCUCUGGGCCGCUACUGACGCUGAGGAGCGAAAGCAUGGGGAGCGAACAGGAUUAGAUACCCUGGUAGUCCAUGCCGUAAACGUUGGGAACUAGAUGUAGGGGUCUUUCCACGGCUUCUGUGUCGACGCUAACGCAUUAAGUUCCCCGCCUGGGGAGUACGGCCGCAAGGCUAAAACUCAAAGGAAUUGACGGGGGCCCGCACAAGCGGCGGAGCAUGCGGAUUAAUUCGAUGCAACGCGAAGAACCUUACCAAGGCUUGACAUAUACGAGAACACUGUAGAGAUACAGGACUCUUUGGACACUCGUAUACAGGUGGUGCAUGGUUGUCGUCAGCUCGUGUCGUGAGAUGUUCGGUUAAGUCCGGCAACGAGCGCAACCCUCGUCCUAUGUUGCCAGCACGUUAUGGUGGGAACUCAUGGGAUACUGCCGUGGUCAACACGGAGGAAGGUGGGGAUGACGUCAAAUCAUCAUGCCCCUUAUGUCUUGGGCUUCACGCAUGCUACAAUGGCCGGCACAAUGGGCAGCGAUACCGUGAGGUGGAGCGAAUCCAAAAAACCGGUCUCAGUUCGGAUUGGGGUCUGCAACUCGACCCCAUGAAGUCGGAGUCGCUAGUAAUCGCAGAUCAGCACG